GAUGAACGCUAGCGAUAGGCCUAACACAUGCAAGUCGAGGGGCAUCACAUGAAGUAGCAAUACGGAUGGUGGCGACCGGCGCACGGGUGAGUAACACGUAUGCAACCUGCCUUCAACAAGGGGAUAACCCGUUGAAAGACGGACUAAUACCCUAUAACACAGGGGUCCCGCAUGGGAAUAUUUGUUAAAGGACAACCGGUUGAAGAUGGGCAUGCGUUCCAUUAGCUAGUUGGCGGGUAACGGCCCACCAAGGCAACGAUGGAUAGGGGAACUGAGAGGUUUAUCCCCCACACUGGUACUGAGACACGGACCAGACUCCUACGGGAGCAGCAGUGAGGAAUAUUGGUCAAUGGACGCAAGUCUGAACCAGCCACGUCGCGUGAAGGAAGACGGCCCUACGGGGUUGUAAACUUCUUUUGUAAGGGAAUAAAGUGUAGUACGCGUACUAUUUUGCAUGUACCUUACGAAU
rnacentral:rRNA from 1 species